CCCCCCCCGUCCUCUACUGAAGGGAAACUGAGCUGAAUGUGUGAAGACGUUCUUACAGUUGAUGAGCAGUAAUUUGGUUCAGUCAAAAUAAAACACAUACAGUUGUUAUUAUCUGUACUUUUAGUAUCGUGUUUCCUUUGUUGUAGAUGUGAAGCUUUUUUUUGUAAAUACAUUGUUUUCUUACAAAUGCUGCUGUUCUCAUGUCUGGUUUGUUCAACUGUUCGCUGCCUGAUACAUAGCGAGAAUCACCUCAGGCUCCUUUAACACUGUGAGAUUUUGGGUUUUCUGAGACGAAAGAGACGAUAGUGAGAGAAAUGUGGUCAAAUCGAAAACGAUGGUCUUAGAUGAGACUCGACAGCAAAUUUCUCAGAGUGUCAGAAUGCGACUGCUGCUACGACCCGCGUCUGCAUCCCAACCAAUCAGAAUAUGACAUUAAAUGAUGUAGAAUAAACCGGCUGGCACAGCAGUUUAGAAAGCAAACACCAUGUCUGCAGGAACAGCGCCAGGCCAAACCGUGUAAUUACAACUUCCGGGUCCGUCAUGUGAUGCAUGCUGGCCCAAAAAGCAUCUUGUUCAUACUCGAUCAUUGGAGAAGGAGUGACGGUAAAACGGGUGUCACAACCCCCCGCAAAAUGACUCGUUUCAUUAUCAAGAUUUGAUCCGUUUGGUCUGAUAACAUUUGGGAAGUCUAGAAGAGUCGUAUGGUUAAAUUAUUUUAUCCCAUUCAAGUGAGCAGAGAGCCAUCUGGAAGCAGAAGUCUCAGACGUGCAUAGUCUGAACCAGCUCGGGUGGAAAAGGACUCUAUUGUGAAUGAUCUAUGGGCCCAAAAAAACGAGGACGACCGCCGAAACAUGGCAGACUGUUUUUUUAUUCUGCUUCAUACACCACUGAGCAGUUUUCAUAGGGAAUGAAUUUGCACCAUCUUUGAACGUGGUAUCCAGUUCUCCUUAAUACAUCCAUGGUACACACAAACAAAAAGAGAUGGAGGCAAAAGGAAAAAGAAGUUUGUGUGAACUUGCUACAUUUUCAAAACAUAAGAGCAGUACGGAUGGAUGAUGACGUGUCUCUGCUUUCAUAUACUUUUUACUAUUUGCAUUGAGUUGAGUUGACACAAAGUG